rnacentral:rRNA from 1 species
UACGUAGGCAGCAAGCGUUGUUCGGAGUUACUGGGCGUAAAGGGUGUGUAGGCUGGUUCUUUAAGUUUGGUGUGAAAUCUCCCGGCUUAACCGGGAGGGUGCGCCGAAUACUGAGGGACUAGAGUACGGGAGAGGAAAGUGGAAUUCCUGGUGUAGCGGUGAAAUGCGUAGAUAUCAGGAGGAACACCGGUGGUGUAGACGGCUUUCUGGACCGUAACUGACGCUGAGACACGAAAGCGUGGGUAGCAAACAGG